AGGGGUGCUCAGAUCCUGAGGAACAGACUGUGCUGACUUGGAGCAUCCCCGUGCCUUGGGGAGAAGGGAGUGUGCCUGGUGAAAGAUACUGUUUCUGAGUUUUAUUUUACAUGAAACAAGUUGUCCCAGGAGGAGCAAGAGAAUGCCUUUGGACACAAGCAGCACUGGGCUGUUUUCUGCCCGGGAACAAAUGCUGACCCUGAUGCCAAAUUAUAGUAAAAGGAACAUACCUGCUCAGGCACCCUGAGUUUCUUCCAGGAAGGUCAUCUCCCAGAACUGAGAUGGAAAAAUAAAUUAGUUGUGGGGAUUGAGCUGAAACUGAUGGACUCACCCACUGCCUAAGAGUUUUAAACCAGCAGGAGACCACAGACCACCUUGUGAGACAGUCUGCAGUCAGAACAGAGCAGUCUGGAGGGGCUGGAAGUGUAGGGAUUUAUGGCACAGCAUCAAAGUACAG